GAUCUUUACCCCGCCUUCUUCCGAAGUCAAGAAGAGCAAAGCGUGUUCAAUGCAUCGUUCCAGCAGUCUUUUUACUUCAAUAGAACGGUUAUACAACCGACCGUGAAAAGUACUCAAUCAUGUUCAUUCGCGUGUGUUAACCCAGCACCGGCAAGACGAAAACGGCAGAGUACUAUAGGAGUACAGCAUGGAUGUUGUACAUCCAGUGCCGCGUUCCAUGCCCCAACAAAUCACCCGAACCUUCAAGGACAGGUUCGCACAUUUCUGCAGUACGAGAACAAGAAGCAGUUUUUCACCGUUCAUUUAUGCACGGCGUUGAUUGGUUGCACAGGGUGUGUGUGUUCUCAAGAAAAUAAUUUGGCACCAGCCGUGGUUGUGAAAUUCGGAGUUCAAGAGGUGGAUGAACUGCAAGACACGGAGAUAGACUAUUUCUACUUCGCUGGCUGCUGCAAAUGUGUCAACGAUUAAUAACUUUCUUGUGAAUAAAAUGUGUUCAUCAAGAUAUCGCAAGGCAUAUUUGUCCUUGAUGCCCAUUGAACUUUUAAGUUUUCCUUUGUAAUGUGUGUUACAAAUAAUUUAUCCUCGGCUACUUAAGCUUUGUUGCAAACGUAUCAUCCAACGAUAAAUUAAGUCUUAAUCUGACUGAGAUAAGUGAAAGUACACGAGAAUCAGUUCCUGCUGUGUUAUUCAUUAAACAUCUGGAAACGUGUAAGAAUUACAGUUUAACAAAUACACGACAUGGUGUGUUAUUCUAACAGAUUACGCGUAACUAAAAAUUAGUAUAUGUUUAAUAUCUGAUCAUGUACAGCAAUC